ACACUCCUGCGGGAGGCAGCAGUGAGGAAUAUUGGACAAUGGGUGGAAGCCUGAUCCAGCCAUCCCGCGUGCAGGAAGACGGCCCUAUGGGUUAUAAACUGCUUUUAUCUGGGGAUAAACCUACUUACGUGUAAGUAGCUGAAGGUACCAGAAGAAUAAGCACCGGCUAACUCCGUGCCAGCAGCCGCGGUAAUACGGAGGGUGCAAGCGUUAUCCGGAUUUAUUGGGUUUAAAGGGUCCGUAGGCGGACUGAUAAGUCAGUGGUGAAAUCCGACAGCUUAACUGUCGAACUGCCAUUGAUACUGUUAGUCUUGAGUAAGGUUGAAGUGGCUGGAAUAAGUAGUGUAGCGGUGAAAUGCAUAGAUAUUACUUAGAACACCAAUUGCGAAGGCAGGUCACUAAGUCUUAACUGACGCUGAUGGACGAAAGCGUGGGGAGCGAACAGGAUUAGAAACCCCGGUAGUCCCAUGA
rnacentral:rRNA from 1 species